rnacentral:lncRNA from 1 species
GAAUGGAAGCAGUGGCCUAAACUUCAGCUCUCCCUGAAUCUUUCCACAGAUACAGAGAUAGAAAACCAACCAAAAGUGUGGCAAUCUGAAAACAGCAAAGUGGAAGGGGUUUCUCAGGAUCUGAUUUACUGUUAGUGAAUGGGGAUUACUCUAAGAUCCGAAUCCCAAGAAUACUUGAUAAGAAGAGAUGGAAACUUUCUUCCAGGUCAAAGUCUUGAACCAGGAGAAAAUUCUGGCAGUAGAAACCAUUGCCCUGAACAGAGCAAUGACAACAAGUUCAAAAGGAAGAUGUUGAUUCAGGACUCAGGAGAUGCAAACUUUGUGUAAAGGGCCAGAUAAUGGAUCUGAGAACGCUGUCUGGGCUUGGUGCCAAGCGCUGGUAUUUCACAGCAGCGACCGCCUCACAGACGAGCUGUGGGAAGCAGGAGGGACACUCUCUCUUAGGGUGCCACUACUAUGGAGACACAGCUGGGCUGAACAAGAUUUGCUUCAAACGACAACAAGAGAGACAGAAAGUAUCUGGUUCAACCGCUGCCCAAGCAGGCAGGCACCAGAAGAGCUAGCAGCCAAUCCGGCCAUGCUCGAAGCCAGCUCUGCAGCUCAGCCAAUCAGUGACAUCACUGAAUUUAGAAGUAUAUGUACACACUCCAAUCCAGAGAUCAAGGAGCCGUGAAGAUAUGUUCUGCAGCUGUCUCCCUUUGAAGUUCUUUGCUCUGAUACUUCAGAUAACAAUAGAACUCGGGGUUCCAGAGAACCAAGCAGCUUGCUCUUCAAAGAAGAGGUGAAUAUCUUAGGUUUACAGGUUAACUUUAAGAAAGGUAAUCCUAAUAAAUAGAAUAUAUGGAGCCCA